ensembl:lncRNA
CUGAGCAGGAUCCUGGACGCUGCAUCAUCUGGUCUGCAGCAGUGUGUUCUGGACACUCUGGUGAAGAGAGGAGCUGAGCUGUCAUCUGAUCACCAUCUGGGGAGCUUUGGCAGCAGUCUGAGUGAGGCUGGGGACUCAUUGCUGAUGGGGCUGUGCAGAGCUUUGACUGCAAGCUGGUUGGUGCUUGUAGUGUUGCUAACCUCCUAACCAGAUCUCAUUAACUCCUCGUGUUUUGGGGAAUGAAAGGUCCAGCUGAAACAUCCACUCUUUGUCAGAUUGUUGUCUUCAUUCUGGUGCUCUGUGGACUUGAGUUACCUGAAACCUGAAGGAUUGUCUCAUUGCCUGCUGUUUGGAAAGGAC